GACGAACGCUGGCGGCGUGCCUAAUACAUGCAAGUUGAGCGCUGAAGGUUGGUACUUGUACCGACUGGAUGAGCAGCGAACGGGUGAGUAACGCGUGGGGAAUCUGCCUUUGAGCGGGGGACAACAUUUGGAAACGAAUGCUAAUACCGCAUAAAAACUUUAAACACAAGUUUUAAGUUUGAAAGAUGCAAUUGCAUCACUCAAAGAUGAUCCCGCGCUGUAUUAGCUAGUUGGUGAGGUAAAGGCUCACCAAGGCGAUGAUACAUAGCCGACCUGAGAGGUGGAUCGGCCACAUUGGGACUGAGACACGGCCCAAACUCCUACGGGAGGCAGCAGUAGGGAAUCUUCGGCAAUGGACGAAAGUCUGACCGAGCAACGCCGCGUGAGUGAAGAAGGUUUUCGGAUCGUAAAACUCUGUUGGUAGAGAAGAACGUUGGUGAGAGUGGAAAGCUCAUCAAGUGACGGUAACUACCCAGAAAGGGACGGCUAACUACGUGCCAGCCGCCGCAGUAA
rnacentral:rRNA from 1 species